rnacentral:rRNA from 1 species
GGGACACGUGGUAUCCUGUCUGAAUAUGGGGGGACCAUCCUCCAAGGCUAAAUACUCCUGACUGACCGAUAGUGAACCAGUACCGUGAGGGAAAGGCGAAAAGAACCCCGGCGAGGGGAGUGAAAAAGAACCUGAAACCGUGUACGUACAAGCAGUGGGAGCACGCUUAGGCGUGUGACUGCGUACCUUUUGUAUAAUGGGUCAGCGACUUAUAUUCUGUAGCAAGGUUAACCGAAUAGGGGAGCCGAAGGGAAACCGAGUCUUAACUGGGCGUUAAGUUGCAGGGUAUAGACCCGAAACCCGGUGAUCUAGCCAUGGGCAGGUUGAAGGUUGGGUAACACUAACUGGAGGACCGAACCGACUAAUGUUGAAAAAUUAGCGGAUGACUUGUGGCUGGGGGUGAAAGGCCAAUCAAACCGGGAGAUAGCUGGUUCUCCCCGAAAGCUAUUUAGGUAGCGCCUCGUGAAUUCAUCUCCGGGGGUAGAGCACUGUUUCGGCAAGGGGGUCAUCCCGACUUACCAACCCGAUGCAAACUGCGAAUACCGGAGAAUGUUAUCACGGGAGACACACGGCGGGUGCUAACGUCCGUCGUGAAGAGGGAAACAACCCAGACCGCCAGCUAAGGUCCCAAAGUCAUGGUUAAGUGGGAAACGAUGUGGGAAGGCCCAGACAGCCAGGAUGUUGGCUUAGAAGCAGCCAUCAUUUAAAGAAAGCGUAAUAGCUCACUGGUCGAGUCGGCCUGCGCGGAAGAUGUAACGGGGCUAAACCAUGCACCGAAGCUGCGGCAGCGACACUAUGUGUUGUUGGGUAGGGGAGCGUUCUGUAAGCCUGUGAAGGUGUGCUGUGAGGCAUGCUGGAGGUAUCAGAAGUGCGAAUGCUGACAUAAGUAACGAUAAAGCGGGUGAAAAGCCCGCUCGCCGGAAGACCAAGGGUUCCUGUCCAACGUUAAUCGGGGCAGGGUGAGUCGACCCCUAAGGCGAGGCCGAAAGGCGUAGUCGAUGGGAAACAGGUUAAUAUUCCUGUACUUGGUGUUACUGCGAAGGGGGGACGGAGAAGGCUAUGUUGGCCGGGCGACGGUUGUCCCGGUUUAAGCGUGUAGGCUGGUUUUCCAGGCAAAUCCGGAAAAUCAAGGCUGAGGCGUGAUGACGAGGCACUACGGUGCUGAAGCAACAAAUGCCCUGCUUCCAGGAAAAGCCUCUAAGCAUCAGGUAACAUCAAAUCGUACCCCAAACCGACACAGGUGGUCAGGUAGAGAAUACCAAGGCGCUUGAGAGAACUCGGGUGAAGGAACUAGGCAAAAUGGUGCCGUAACUUCGGGAGAAGGCACGCUGAUAUGUAGGUGAAGUCCCUCGCGGAUGGAGCUGA